CUCUUAUCAAGAGAGGUGGAGGGACUGGCCCAAUGAAGCCCGGCAACCACCCCUAAUGGGGAAAGGUGCCAAUUCCUGCAGAAGUAUAUCUUCUGGCAGAUAAGAG
rnacentral:ncRNA from 2 species